AGCGAACGCUGGCGGCAGGCCUAAACAUGCAAGUCGAACGCCGUAGCAAUACGGAGUGGCAGACGGGUGAGUAACGCGUGGGAACGUACCCUUUGGUUCGGAACAACACAGGGAAACUUGUGCUAAUACCGGAUAAGCCCUUACGGGGAAAGAUUUAUCGCCAAAGGAUCGGCCCGCGUCUGAUUAGCUUGUUGGUGAGGUAACGGCUCACCAAGGCUACGAUCAGUAGCUGGUCUGAGAGGAUGAUCAGCCACACUGGGACUGAGACACGGCCCAGACUCCUACGGGAGGCAGCAGUUAGGAAUCUUGGACAAUGGGCGCAAGCCUGAUCCAGCCAUGCCGCGUGAGUGAUGAAGGCCUUAGGGUUGUAAAGCUCUUUCAGGCGGGGAAGAUAAUGACGGUACCCGCAGAAGAACGCCCCGGCUAACUUCGUGCCAGCAGCCGC
rnacentral:rRNA from 1 species